rnacentral:misc_RNA from 1 species
GGAGUUUCUCGGAGCUAGCGAAGGGUAGGGAAAGUUCGUCCUUUGAAAAAUGUUGAGAGAUCUUUUCAGGUAAUGACCCAGUUUGCCUUUUGACUCGCUCAAAUCUUUGUCACGGUUGUUCGGCGGUGGAGAUGUGGCUAUUUGGUGAUUGGAGAAUGGUGCUUUAGAGCAAUAGAGAUUUGUGCUUUAUUUUUUUGAGACAUAGAGAAAGGAAAAAAUAAGUGCAUAC